rnacentral:lncRNA from 1 species
GAAUUAUUAUUUUUCAAUGCUUUCAAAUGAUUUUGAUAAAUUGAUUGAAUGUAUGAAACAAUUGUAUGAAUAUAAAUAUGCAUGCUUGAUUUUUGUACGAAUAUAGAAUCUGGAUUAAAUGAAUUUUCAAAUGGUUUUAGCAGUAGGGUUAGUAUGUUGACAUUAUAUUUUGCAAAACUUUCUUUUGUCCACUCACACUUUUAAUGUUUUG